rnacentral:rRNA from 1 species
GCCCAAAAAUCAGCCAACCAAAAAUCCAAAAACACCACCCCCCCCCCCAACCAAAACAUUUAACCCGGCCAGUAAAUGAGAUUAAACCCCACCACUUGGCCUUAAAAGUACCGCAAGGGAAAAAUGAAAGAAUAAUGAAAUUACCUAAGCAAAAAAUAGCAAAGAUUAAUCCCUGUACCUCCUGCAUCAUGGUUUAGCAAAACGCCCUCAGACAAAGAGAACCUUUAGCCUGAUCUCCCGAAACCAAACGAGCUAUUUUUUAGCAGCAAUUAGAGCACACCCGUCCCUGUAGCAAAAGGGUGGGGAGACCAAAAAAUAGAGGCGAAAAGCCUAUCGAGCUUGGUGAUAGCUGGCUACUCAUAAAAGAAUUUAAGUUCAACUUUAGGUUCAUACAAGACCACAUAAAAACUCUCCCUUCUAAACCUAAAGAAAUUCAAUAGGGGUACAGCCCUAUUGAACCGGAAUACAGCCCGUAAUGAGAGACUCCUUUAUUUUUUCUUCUAGUAGGCCUCAAAGCAGCCACCAAAAAUUGCGUUACAGCAUAAAUAAAAUAAUUUCCAUAACUUACACACUCUCCCAAUACAAACCUGAGUUAUUCUAUACUAAAUAGAAAUACUAAUGCUAAAAUUAGUAAUAAGAAACAUUAUUUCUCCUCGCACCCGCUUGAAUCAGAACAGAAAAACUACUGAUACUUAAAAAAUUUAACCAACACCUCCACCUUAUUCUAGCCUAAAUGUUGACUAAUAUUGUCACCCCAACACAGGUGUGCAAAAAAGAAAGGCCAAAAGCUGUAAAAGGAACUCGGCAAAUACUGUCCCAACUGUUUACCAAAAACAUAGCCUUUAGCCCUACAAGUAUUAAAGGUCCCGCCUGCCCAGUGACUCUUUAAACGGCCGCGGUAUCCUAACCGUGCAAAGGUAGCAUAAUCACUUGUCCCCUAAAUCGGGACUAGAAUGAACGGCUAAAUGAGGACUAAACUGUCUCUUACAGAUUGGCCAAUGAAAUUGAUUUCCCAGUACAAAAGCUGGAAUAUACCCAUAAGACGAGAAGACCCUGUGGAGCUUCAAAACCAAACCACUUAGUAUGUCCCUUGGUUUUUUAGUUGGGGCGACUUCGGAAUACAACAAAACUUCCAAAAUAAAACUAACUCAUUAAGGUUAACACACCAAAAUCUCCACACAGACCCAGCAAUUAAUUUUGUCUGACCAAUGAACCAAGUUACCCCAGGGAUAACAGCGCAAUCUCCUUUUAGAGUCCAUAUCGACAAGGGGGUUUACGACCUCGAUGUUGGAUCAGGACACCCCAAUGGUGCAGCCGCCAUUAAAGGUUCGUUUGUUCAACGAUUAAUAGUCCUACGUGAUCUGAGUUCAGACCGGAGAAAUCCAGGUCGGUUUCUAUCUAUGCAGCACUAUCUUUAGUACGAAAGGACCAAGAUAGUAGGACCCCUUCUAAAAGAACGUCCUAAUUAAAAUUACUGAUUACUACUAAAGUAGUAUAUGUGGCUCUCCCCAGCCCUAAAUAAGGGCUU